AUGAAUCUUUUGAGCUCUAUGGACUUUAUCCAACAUAUUACUGGGCCCAGACAUAAGCACCGCCAUUCUCUGGACCUGGUUAUUACCAAGAGGCUUUCUACUGGGCCCACCCAUAACCACAGCCAUUCUCUGGACCUGGUUAUUAACAAGAGGCUUUCUACUGGGCCCACCCAUAACCACAGCCAUUCUCUGGACCUGGUUAUUACCAAGAGGCUUUCUACUGGGCCCACCCAUAACCACAGCCAUUCUCUGGACCUGGUUAUUACCAAGAGGCUUUCUACUGGGCCCCCCCAUAACCACAGCCAUUCUCUGGACCUGGUUAUUACCAAGAGGCUUUCUACUGGGCCCACCCAUAACCACAGCCAUUCUCUGGACCUGGUUAUUACCAAGAGGCUUUCUACUGGGCCCACCCAUAACCACAGCCAUUCUCUGGACCUGGUUAUUACCAAGAGGCUUUCUACUGGGCCCACCCAUAACCACAGCCAUUCUCUGGACCUGGUUAUUACCAAGAGGCUUUCUAUUGGGCCCCCCCAUAACCACAGCCAUUCUCUGGACCUGGUUAUUACCAAGAGGCUUUCUACUGGGCCCACCCAUAACCACAGCCAUUCUCUGGACCUGGUUAUUACCAAGAGGCUUUCUACUGGGCCCACCCAUAACCACAGCCAUUCUCUGGACCUGGUUAUUACCAAGAGGCUUUCUACUGGGCCCACCCAUAACCACAGCCAUUCUCUGGACCUGGUUAUUACCAAGAGGCUUUCUACUGGGCCCACCCAUAACCACAGCCAUUCUCUGGACCUGGUUAUUACCAAGAGGCUUUCUACUGGGCCCACCCAUAACCACAGCCAUUCUCUGGACCUGGUUAUUACCAAGAGGCUUUCUACUGGGCCCACCCAUAACCACAGCCAUUCUCUGGACCUGGUUAUUACCAAGAGGCUUUCUACUGGGCCCACCCAUAACCACAGCCAUUCUCUGGACCUGGUUAUUACCAAGAGGCUUUCUACUGGGCCCACCCAUAACCACAGCCAUUCUCUGGACCUGGUUAUUACCAAGAGGCUUUCUACUGGGCCCACCCAUAACCACAGCCAUUCUCUGGACCUGGUUAUUACCAAGAGGCUUUCUAUUGGCAUAUCCUCUAUUGUUGAUGUUGCUUUAUCUGAUCACCACUGUGUGUUCAUUACUACCUUGUUGCCCAUAGCACAGGGUAAUACUGAACACAUUAUUAAACACUAG
rnacentral:lncRNA from 8 species